AACGAACGCUGGCGGCAUGCCUAACACAUGCAAGUCGAACGAGACCUUCGGGUCUAGUGGCGCAUGGCUGCGUAACGCGUGGGAACCUGCCCUUAGGUUCGGCAUAACUCCCCGAAAGGGGUGCUAAUACCGGAUAAUGUCUUCGGACCAAAGAUUUAUCGCCUUUGGAUGGGCCCGCGUUGGAUUAGCUAGUUGGUAGGGUAAAAGCCUAACAAGGCGACGAUCCAUAGCUGGUCUGAGAGGAUGAUCAGCCACACUGGGACUGAGACACGGCCCAGACUCCUACGGGAGGCAGCAGUGGGGAAUAUUGGACAAUGGGCGAAAGCCUGAUCCAGCAAUGCCGCGUGAGUGAUGAAGGCCUUAGGGUUGUAAAGCUCUUUUACCCGGGAUGAUAAUGACAGUACCGGGAGAAUAAGCUCCGGCUAACUCCGUG
rnacentral:rRNA from 1 species